UUCUCAAACCAUCAUGUGCGACAGGAGAGAAAAUGGCCGUUGUUGGUAUUUAUGCAUUGGCAAAAAAACUGAGCACAUCAUGUCCAAUACAGGUUACAACACCGAAUACUGUACCGGUCUCAUGCUGUCAGUACGACCCAACCGACUGCUCUAUACGUUAUGUUGGGGCCACAUACAGGCUAUAUUAUCAACAGUGUAACGGGAACAUCGGAUGCACCAGACAAGUAUCAUGGAUAUCUACAACUUGUAAUCAAACUGUUCAUCUGGCCAGUACCAACUAUAUGAAGAUGGAUUACUAUUGUAUUUCCGGUAUUUCUAAAAUAAAAUUGAUAGUUUUAAAUGUUUAUUUGCUUUGUUUGACUUAACAAAUGCUAUAAAGGUGCAAGCAAAAUGAAUUGUUACCAUUAUAAAAAAAACCAUCUGAUCGUUUACGUUUGAUGUGUUUUAGCAUUUGGUUUUGGCAUUUGAUAAGGUACCGUUCCGAUAUGAGUUUUCCUUGGAGUUCGGUAUUUUUUUAAUUUUCAUUCACGUCUUUUAUUAACAGUAAAACAAGAUAGGCAUUAAUAAACCGUGUAAUAUUAUACCACUAUGCUGUACACAAUAUUAGCACUCGUUUAUUUUCUCUUUGGAAAACAAGAAUAAUAGAGACUUAAUUUAUUUUUAUAUAAAACAGGCCGUAAAUUUUUCUCGUUUUAAUUGUUUUACUUUUUAUUUGCCUGUUCGACACCUUUUAUACGGUAUGGGUUUGGGUCAUCGUCUAAGGCCGUACGGUAUCCUUUAGUUGUUAAUUUAUGUGUCAUUUGAUCUCUUGUGAAGAGUUGUCUCAUUGGCAAUCAUAACACAUCUUAUCAUUUUUAUUGUUGACAAAUUGCAAAGCAAGGAUUUUUUCUACCAUAUCAUUGUGAUAGUUAACAGUUCUUUUCACAUCUGAUCGUUAUCUUCUACGAAUCGGAUCGUUAUCUUCUACGAUCGUCAUCAUUCACAACAAAAGACAAAUAUAAAUAGAAAAAGUCGACUUGUUUCUAAUAUGUUUCAUUCCUAAUCAUUAUUUAUUAUUGGCAUUGUAUAUGUGCAUUUAACCUGACCAUCUAAAGAUUUUCUUAAUAAUUUUGUAAUUUGGUUUUCAGAUCAAGUUCUAGAUUCAUGUUCAAGUUUAAACACAACAGAUGACAGAGUUUUCCUAUGGAACCUCGGAUACCCAUGGACAUCUC
rnacentral:lncRNA from 1 species